UCCAGCGGGGCGACCUCAACUCGGAACACACAGUCCCUGGGGCACCCGGUGGGACCGGCACUUGCCAACCAUCCUGUUGGCUACAUUUGUAAAAAGGUGACAAAAAACAGCCCAAAGUAAUCGAAGAAUACCUUUUAUUCAACACACUGGAUACACACGUGGCCCACAUUUAAGUGUUAUCAGUGAAGUGUUUUAGCGGCCAGAAGACCUGUGCCUGGGCGCACAGCAGGCCUCAGUGUCCCCAGUGCCCCGCCCAGGCCAGCGCUCUGAGGGCUAUGCGGGUGUGGCCAGGGCUUCGUGGGCAAAGCCAGGACCUGCUCCUGCCAGGCUGCCCUUUAGCUACCCCGGAGGGCAGCCCCCCACCUGCAGGUAGUGACAGGAAUCUGGGCCCUUUCCAAGGAAAGCAUCCCCUCUAGUAACGAUUGGGGGAACCCUGCUUACAACGUCCACCAGCCUCACCACCAAAGCCUUUGACUUGGAAACCAAUGUCUGAUUCCAUUCAGCAGAGGUAGUGGGCAGAAUCGUGCCCACCCAAAAGUGAAUUAGUGUGCUUGCAGGAGGAGACCCCGGAGCACGUGCUGUCCCCCACAACCUCCAGCCCCCAGCAGAAAACAGAGGAGAGGUCAUGUGAGCACAGAGGAGGUGGCUGUGGACAAGCCAGGAAGAAGCCAGAGCGCUUGGGGAUUUGGCCUGAGACUUUGGGCAUCCGGAACCCUGAGGAUGCAUUUCUGCAGGAAGCCUCCUGCUGGUAGCGAGGCAUCUUGUUGCGGAGCCUACCUGACUGACACAGCAUCUCUGGUCUGCCUUUUCACAAAAUCUGCACGUGCCAAGGAUGCUCCUCAUAGAAAGCACAUGUGGAGACGUCGCUGAUGCCUGGAACCUGCCGACUAAGAAGUGGCACUGCCUGUUGGCCUGUGCACAGGCUGCUUCUCGCCACACCUCCACCCUCCUGCAUUCGCGUGCGCGCCCAGUCACCCCGAGGCUGUGCCUGAGUCACAGAACACCCAGCCCAAGCCCUGGCGCGCUCUCCACCCAGCACCCACCCUCCUGGCUCCCUCGCCUGACCCCUCCCCCUGACUCCAAGCCCCCAGCAGGCCUUCCCACCUGGUGGACAGGCCUACACCCCACCUUCAAGUAAGAAGGAUUUGCAGUCUCUCGUCCACCCAGCACCCCCACCCCGGACCGUCAGCUCACACGCUCCGGUGUCCCCCGCCCCCCCGCACCCUGCCGUCUCUACUCCUUUGCUGCAGCUGCUUCUCCUAGGAGCUGACGGGUCCGCCUGAGCGCCCUCACUGUCGUGCCCACACCCUGACGGGGCCCUCCUCACGGUCAGCGCCGGCCUCCCACUGCAGCAGCCAGUCCCCACCCUGGGCUCCCGCCCAGCUGAUUGCCUCUCAGAAAUAGGGUCUACCCUGUGACCAUGACAUUUGCUGUCCUGGUCCUGGUCCUCCGCCUCUUUUGCUUGCUCCUCCUCGUACCUACCUGAAGCCCUGGGGUCCCAGGCUUGGUCCUGGCCCCUCCUUCCCGGGUGCACACUCCCGUCUGGUCCAUCUCCCGAGGCCAUCACUUCCCACGUGUCUGCGCUGCACGGGGAGCGCUAUCUCAAACCCCUCGGAUGGCGACAGAUUCCAGACUCACCCUCCCUCCUGAGGCUCACACUCCGAAGUGCCCACUUACUGAUGCACAGAGCCCACGGCCACCGCGGGUCCUUGGCAGCCUUCUUUGUCUCUGUGCCCCGCAGGCAACGUCACUGGCUUCUGCCGGCCCGUCGGCCUCUCAGAUGCUCCUUCCUCCUUCAGACCCCCUGGCCCGCCCACCAAACACCAUACACACCGUCACAUCAGCUUUCCCUUUCCCUCUGCCUGCUGAACCCUUUCCAGGCACACAGGUGCAGCCUGCCACAGAGAAAGAACACAUAUGUGCCACGUGAAUCCAUAACAUGUCAGCACGUCAGCGCGCCCGGAUCCCGGGCUGCCUGACUCUUGGGAGACGCUGAACACUAGCAUCACCAGUGUUAAAAGCCACGUUCAUGAAAUCCUGGGCAAAAAGGAGGCUUACUUUUUCUUGUAUGCCCUUCUUUACCUGUGGAAUGCUGUCUCAUGUCUGUAUGUUUCCUUUGCCAAAGUAACAAUAUCAUUAUUCAACUUUA